AAGACCCCUUGAAGACGACGAGGUAGAUAGGGCAGAGGUGGAAGUGUGGUAACACAUGGAGCUGACUGUUACUAAUAGGUCGAGGGCAUAACCAAG
rnacentral:rRNA from 1 species